UACAGAGGGUGCGAGCGUUGUCCGGAAUCACUGGGCGUAAAGGCGCGUAGGUGGUGGCUUAAGCGUGCGGUGAAAGCUCGGAGCUCAACUCCGAGUCGGCCGUGCGAACUGGGCUCACUGGAGCAUAGUAGAGGCAGGUGGAAUUCCGGGUGUAGCGGUGGAAUGCGCAGAUAUCAGGAGGAACACCGAUGGCGAAGGCAGGUCUCUGG
rnacentral:rRNA from 1 species